rnacentral:rRNA from 1 species
GGAGUUUGGGCCGUGUCUCAGUCCCAAUGUGGCCGUUCAACCUCUCAGUCCGGCUAUUGAUCGUCGUCUUGGUGGUCCGUUACCCCGCCAACUGGCUAAUCAGACGCGGAUCCAUCUCGCACCGAUAAAUUCCUUUUACCUCAGCCCCAUGCAGGGCCGUGGUCUUAUGCGGUAUUACCAGCCGUUUCCAGCUCGCU